rnacentral:rRNA from 1 species
UACGGAGGGUGCAAGCGUUAUCCGGAUUCACUGGGUUUAAAGGGUGCGUAGGCGGGUUGGUAAGUCCGUGGCGAAAUCUCCAAGCUUAACUUGGAAACUGCCGUGGAUACUAUCAAUCUUGAAUGUCGUGGAGGUAAGCGGAAUAUGUCAUGUAGCGGUGAAAUGCUUAGAGAUGACAUAGAACACCAAUUGCGUAGGCAGCUUACUACACGAAUAUUGACGCUGAGGCACGAAAGCGUGGGGAUCAAACAGG